rnacentral:rRNA from 1 species
CCUACGGGGGGCUGCAGUGAGGAAUAUUGGUCAAUGUGCGCGAGCCUGAACCAGCCACGUCGCGUGCAGGAUGACGGCUCUCCGCGUUGUAAACUUCUUUUAUAAAGGAGUAAAGUGAGGCACGUGUGUCUUUUUGUAUGUACUGUAUGAAUAAGGAUCGGCUAACUCCGGCCCAGCAGCCGCGGUAAUACGGAGGAUCCGAGCGUUAGCCGGAUUUAUUGGGUUUAAAGGGAGCGUAGAUGGGUGGUUAAGUCAGUUGUGAAAGUUUGCGGCUCAACCGUAGAAUUGCAUGUGAUACUGGCAGUCUAGAGUGCAGUUGAGGUAGGCGGAAUUCGUGGUGUAGCGGUGAAAUGCGUAGAGAUCACGAAGAACACCGAUGGCGAAGGCAGCUGACUAAGCUGCCACUGACGUUGAGGCUCGAAAGUGUGGGUAGCAAACAGGAUUAGAUACCCGGGUAGUC